AGAAAUGCAAAAGAUGGAAUAAAAACCCUGAUCAUUAAAACAGAGACACCUUCACUGGUGUCCAAUAAGGAUUCUCUUUACAAAACAGAAACAAACAACUCAAAAAUUUACCAUACUUUGUAAUGAAAAUACCAGUACGUUGAAGACACAGCAGACUGGGUUUCUAUUAGAGCAAGUAUCAGCAAGGUCAUGUAGACUUGUAGAAACUUUUGCCUUCUCCUGCAUCAGACAGAUCAUUGUCCAGUUGGGUUGUCAGCUGGAGACUGAUAAGAACCUAAAAAAUGGAUCUUCUUUUUUUUCUUUUUCCCAUGGUCACACAUCCACACAAAUGAGUUUUUUGGAUGAGAAAAGUCACAGCAACUUGAGUUCUCCUGAUGAAUAGAUGACUUUUUAGCCCUGUUUGUUUCAAUGGGGAAAACAAUGACAAAAAAACAAACCCCAGGCAGGCACGACACUUAUGUAAAAUGAACACAGUUAGUACAAAACCAGUAAGGCAUCACUUUGGGAAGGUCAGCACCGAAGAGGUCAGGCAAGGCUCGUCCAGACGGGGCUUCUGGGAGGGAGUGACCCUCACCCUUGUUGAGCUGCGUCAUGUUGGUUCUGAGGAAAGUGCAAGUCUUUUGCGGGGUGACCGCAUCACCCCACCGGAAGUUGGGGCGGGGACGCUGGAGGUGUUGGUGUGUGUUCUAAACCCUCAAGGACGAGAAGGGAAGGCAAGGUCCAUGGCUCACCCACAUGUCGAGGACCAGGUCCUCAUCCAUUUUAAAGGACACAGAUACCCCCAGCCCUAGCAGGAGGAGGCGAGUGUGUAGGACUGUGAGGAUGGACAACUAAAAACCAAAACUGAGCAGGACCAAACCAAAACUCAACUCCUGCGGUUCUUACUUUCACCAAAGGAUUGAUUCUGACCAAGAGGGGAAGGGGGAAAAAAAAUCUUCAAAAAUCAAUGCAUCAGAAAGGAAGAAACUCAACCUCAUUUUCAAAAGGUAAUCUGUUCUCCAAAGUAGAACAAGUCUCACUCUACACAGUGUUUGCAGAAAAAAAAAACCUGAUUCAUUCAUAUAUCAGAAGGAAACAGACACAUGCUGUUCUGCACUGACAGCCACAUCCACCGGCUCACACUCUCACUCCGUCACUCACUCUCACGGAUAUUAAUCAGAGGCUGAUGGACCCGAAUGGGGUGGUUCGAUUGGAACAGGCAAAAUACCUCUCGGGUAAGGAAAGCACCAUUUAAAAAACAUGAAAGCACGGUUUAUUUUCUCCUAAGGUUUCCCUGUGUCGUAGCUCUGUAGUGCGUUGAACGUGACCAAAGCAAGCACCCUGGUUAGCACCAGUUCUCCCUGUGGCCGGCUGUGCGGGAGGGUGGGUGGCGUGGCUCUGAGACCCAGUCUGGAGGGUCUGUGCUGAGGGGAAGCCAUGCUUCUCUGUUUCCGACUUUGCUCCA
rnacentral:lncRNA from 1 species